rnacentral:misc_RNA from 1 species
GGGGAAAAAGACAUAAUCCUGUGUACAAAUUGCCUCCACGCAAAUAGAUAAGGUCGUGCCAAUUUCCUAAAUGCUUCAAACCUACCACAUAAUCAUAGCAACAAAGUUUGACCCAUGUCCCUCGGAAAUUCUGAUUGCCUUGCCAAAUUGUUUCUCACAAAAAUUUUUAUACACAGCUCCACUACCAAAAUUUUAACCUUACACAAUAAAAGUGUGCAAUUCCAAUGAUGAUAGAUAAAACAUAAGCAUAAACAAGCAAGAUGAAUAGGGCUGUCGACGAUGUGAUGAACAGGGUAUCCACAUAAAUGUUUACAAGCCCUGUAAGCACAUUUGCCAGAAGAAAUGUGCCCAGUAAAUUCCGGUCUAAUGCUUCUUCAAGCAUGGAAAUUUUACUUCCAGAAAUGAAAUCAGAAAGCAUUAGUAUGCCCAGAACCUGAAAGUUUUGAGCUAAGACCAGCGUAACAUAAGCCAUGUUGCACAUCCUACGGGAAACUCUUUCAACGUGACUAUUUAGAAUCGCAGUUAUCAGCCAAAAAACAAGAGAUAGAGAUGAGACUCUGAUCCUUGCCCACUUAUUGCUUUUCAUUUUAGUAGAGGAAUGGUUACCAAAAAAUAGGUAGUAGCCCAACUGGACACCAAUAAGGUACAUGCCCCAAUAUCCAAGUAUGCUAAAUAUCCCCUCUUUAUUUUUGCUUAUGAUAUUUGUUGCCCUUAUAUCAGAAAGCAGAUGCUCACUUAAUCCAUUAAUCAACCAAGACUGAUAACCAAUCAGAAUUGCCAAACCCAGAAAUCCUGAAUAUUGUGGAGGAACAUUAAUUAUGGAUGUAAGGAUUGACACAGCAGCUAGUGUGAAAAAGAAAUUCCAGUGUACUCCAUAUUCCCCUGUAUGAACCUGAUAGUCCACAGUUUUUGUAGAUAGAAGUCG